rnacentral:rRNA from 5 species
UGGCGGCCUUAGCGCGGUGGUCCCACCUGACCCCAUGCCGAACUCAGAAGUGAAACGCCGUAGCGCCGAUGGUAGUGUGGGGUCUCCCCAUGCGAGAGUAGGGAACUGCCAGGC